ensembl:lncRNA
AGUAUACCUUACAUAAACAGAUUUAGGCCGCCAGCUCUGCAGGAAUUUAAGCAAGAACUUCAGUAUUCACUUCUGUAGUUAGCUGUCAUGGGUGUACCUUCAGGAGACAUGGGAGAGGAUUUCACUGCAGGUUGCUCUGAUUUAUGCAUUUGUACAUGCUAGCAGCAUUGCUUCUGUAUUCCUUUGCAAGUGUAUUGCUGUCUCAAGGCAUUCGAGUUGCUUCUAGACAGAACCUGCAUCGGAUGUUCUGCUGCUGGGAUAGAUGGUCUGUUCUGGGGAUCAUCCUCCAUCCCCAGACUGAUGUACUGCUCAUGUAAGGUACGCUGGUGGAGUUUGAUCCUCCUUGUACCUGCUCACCUUUGCAUGCAUCUUAACUGACAGUACGGACCUUCCUUGGAGACUCCAGAGCCCUGCUGUUAACAAAGAUACUUAAACGUGAUCUCCUUCUCCACUUGCAGAGCUCUGUAUCUGAGUUUUAUAUAUUGGCAAGAUAACUUCAAGGAGGCUUGCAUGUGUCUCAUGCUUGCAUCCCUUCACAUGGCUAUUACCAUGGCUCCAACAGCACCUGCAGGACAAAGAAUUUAGCAUAGACUGUGCGCAAAGUGCCAGGAGUCUGGGUAUCACUUACAAGGUGAUGGCUGCAGCAGAGGGGUGGCCAUUCUGCUCUCACUGCUGACUGAGAAGCUACUGUAGGUCCUGCUUUCCUUCACACCCAUUUGAAUUAUAGUUUCCACAGCUUUAGUCCUUAUUAGCUGGUUAGAGAGGAAAGAAUCGGGCCAGCAGUCUCUUACUACACUUCAUUUAAUAACCAGUCUGUAUCUAGACUACUAUUAUAAUUCAGUUGAAACUUAAAGGCAAUCAAAAAAGCCCUUCAAAAUCUUAGCCCCCUGUAGGGAGGAAAAUCAGAACAAGUGAAGGGAGUCAACACAGAUUGAACAUUACAUGUAAACAAACAGGAGGUACAAUAUCUUUAACGCCAUGUUAAAAAGCAGAGGAAUUUCUUUUGUAAACAAAACACAGUUAAAGCGAGGUACUUCCCAACAAGCAUUAACUACCCAACAGAUGCCCUCAGCGGGGUUCACAGCUGUUACUGUGAGUGGGAAUUUGCACAGCCAAUUGCUAACAAAAUCAUUUUCUAAUAGGGAAUAGCACUUGAAGACCUAUUUGCUACUUCAUCGACCAAAAACGUGAUUUUGACCCAAAUGUUCUACCGUGGAAGUUGUACAAACUGCAUACCUUGAACAGAGCAAGAGAGUGUUCCAUAUUUAAGUUUUCAAAUUCUGCCUUAUUCUCCCAUUCCUGAUGAGGCUGUAGCAAAACUGCUGCUGAGAUUUCUACUUACUGUGGUCGUGGUUGUAGGUCCUAAUCAGCAAAGCUAAGCGUAUAAAUUGCCUAGAAAAGGGCUGGCUUCUGCCCUACGAGCUCAAAGAAAGAUCACCUGCUUUAAAAAGAGGAGAGAUUUUACAUUAUUAUAUAUGAUAGUAUUUAUGAGAUAAGCUUUAUUCCUCUAGUAGUAAUCUAUGUCUAUUUCCUCUCCUGUUGACAAAAGUAAUAAUAAAAAGGCCUUCAACAGUAAUGUUUCUGUAGCUUUAACCAAGCUGUGUGCAGAACAGUCCACUGUAACUCUUACUGGGAGAAGCGCUUUCCAUUGUUUCUCUGUAAUGUAUGCAUCCAGCUUGUCUGUGGUCCUCUCUGUUUUGCUGUAUUUUGCUCCAGGUUCUAAGCAUGAAUUUGAUUUUACAAAGUAAACACAUUGUGGGG